rnacentral:rRNA from 1 species
UACAGAGGGGGCAAGCGUUGUUCGGAAUUACUGGGCGUAAAGGGCUCGUAGGCGGCCAACUAAGUCAUACGUGAAAUCCCUCAGCUUAACUGGGGAACUGCGUGUGAUACUGGAUGGCUUGGAUUUGGGAGAGGGAUGCGGAAUUCCACGUGUAGCGGUGAAAUGCGUAGAGAUGUGGAGGAACACCAGUGGCGAAGGCGACUACCUGGCCUGUUUCUUGACGCUGAGGCGCGAAAGCUAGGGGAGCAAACGGG